GUGGCCUAGUGUUUAGAGCGUCGGCCUUGGAUGCGGGAGGUCGUGGGUUCGAUUUCCGGUCGAUUCA